rnacentral:miRNA from 14 species
AGUGCAGGUAAGAAUCAACCUGGUGGGGCUGGAGAGAUGGCUCAGCCGUUAAAGGCUAGGCUCACAACCAAAAAUAUA